UGUUCUGUGUUCAAAAAUGAUUUUGUUCGAUUUUUUUUUUUUUGUUUACAGAGACGGUAAUGGAUUUGUAAAAUAUCCAAAAAUAUUUCUGCAGCUGUAAGAGGAACUUUGUAAGGCAUUUCAAUCAAUCAGGCAAAAUUGUCUGUUUUUACAGAUAUCUAUCAAGAUUUCUUCAGAGAGAAGAUGAAAUCUUAUCAUCGUUCGCAAGACAACCGCCUGUUUCCGUGCCCGAAUUGUCUCAGCAUCUUCACGUGGAAGAGCAGUUUGAACAGGCAUUUACGCAGCGAAUGCGGCAAGGAGCCGCGUUUCAAGUGUCCAUAUUGCGAGUAUCGUUGCAAGUUCAAAUCCGAUAUGAACAAACACAUUCGCAGAAUGCACAAGAAUUCUGCUGUCUAUGUCGUGAACAUACCGAGCAAUUCUUUCACAGAAGCAAAAGAGUAGCUCGAUGUUUUCUUGUUCUUAAAAAUUCUUAUAACAGAAUACGCUUCUUCAACACUAUACGUUACAUCAGAUACAAAUAUCCGUGCCCUACUCCAAAUUGCCGGAGCACUUUCGUGUGGAAGAGAAACCUGAUAAGCCAUCUUCGUUAUCAGUGCGGUCAGCUGCCCAGGUUCAAGUGUCCCUACUGCGACUGCAAGUGCAAGUACAAGACCGACGUACGGAAGCACGUACGGGCUAAGCAUAAGAAUCGUCACGUUUUCGUGAUUGACGAAGGCCAAUCAGAGAAAUCAACGUAGAAAGAAACAUUGGUUAAAGAUGAUUCUAACAAAUGCGAUCAAUAAGGAUAAUACAGGACGUUAAGGUAUUGGGAAGACUCUAUCCGCGUUUAAAACGAAAAAGAAAGAAGAAGUUCCCAUGCCCUCGAGAAAAUUGUGUCAGCAGUUAUACAGAACAGAAAAAUCUGGCAAGGCAUUUGAAGUAUGAGUGCGGACAAGAUCCACGUUUUCAGUGUCCGUAUUGCAAGUAUUGUAGCAAACAGACGUCGACCAUAUUUCAGCAUAUCAGGAGAUGGCACACAACUGCAAAAGUUUUUGCUAUGGAUAUUAUGUUGGGAACUUGUGUGGGCAAAUAUGCUUUUUCUUUGUGAGAUUUUUUAAGUUUUUUGAUAGAUUUUUUAUGUACGCGUGCUAUGCUAUGAUAAACAUAAGAUCGAAAAAAAUUGGGAGGAUAAACGAUGUGCCAGCAACUUUCGGUUACUUCCACAUGUUCAUUCUGUCUUGUAUUAUUACAUGCACGGUUACUUCCACAUGUUCAUUCUGUCUUAUAUUAUUACAUGUACGAGCGCAGUAAUACAAAUGUAAUAAAACUUAUCGAUUAAAUAAAAACAAUAAUAUAAUUAUA